UGGGAGCUUGCUCCCUGAUGUUAGCGGCGGACGGGUGAGUAACACGUGGGUAACCUGCCUGUAAGACUGGGAUAACUCCGGGAAACCGGGGCUAAUACCGGAUGCUUGUUUGAACCGCAUGGUUCAAACAUAAAAGGUGGCUUCGGCUACCACUUACAGAUGGACCCGCGGCGCAUUAGCUAGUUGGUGAGGUAACGGCUCACCAAGGCGACGAUGCGUAGCCGACCUGAGAGGGUGAUCGGCCACACUGGGACUGAGACACGGCCCAGACUCCUACGGGAGGCAGCAGUAGGGAAUCUUCCGCAAUGGACGAAAGUCUGACGGAGCAACGCCGCGUGAGUGAUGAAGGUUUUCGGAUCGUAAAGCUCUGUUGUUAGGGAAGAACAAGUGCCGUUCAAAUAGGGCGGCACCUUGACGGUACCUAACCAGAAAGCCACGGCUAACUACGUGCCAGCAGCCGCGGUAAUACGUAGGUGGCAAGCGUUGUCCGGAAUUAUUGGGCGUAAAGGGCUCGCAGGCGGUUUCUUAAGUCUGAUGUGAAAGCCCCCGGCUCAACCGGGGAGGGUCAUUGGAAAACUGGGGAAACUUGAGUGCAGAAGAGGAGAGUGGAAUUCCAACGUGUAGCGGUGAAAUGCGUAGAGAUGUGGAGGAACACCAGUGGCGAAAGGCGACUCUCUGGUCUGUAACUGACGCUGAGGAGCGAAAAGCGUGGGAGCGAACAGGAUUACAUACCCUGGAUAGUCCACGCCGUAAACGAUGA
rnacentral:rRNA from 1 species